ensembl:lncRNA
GUCAUUAUGAGGAGUCUGGAUUGAGGUUUCUCACUAGAUAAUGAUCAAAACAUGAAAUUUAGGUUGGUUUAAAGGAAUAUUCCACCUUAAAUCGUUGAAUGUUGCCCUAAAAGGUUGGUUUCAGGAAGUAUUCCCCCUACAAGGUCCUCACACAUCCACCUUAAAGGAACAUUCCACUAAAAAUCCUUGGAAAUGCACCUAAAAUGUUGGUUUAACCAAGUAUUCCAUCCAAAAUCCUCAAAGAUACCUGAGGGGCUGGUUAAAAGGAAUAUUCCAUCUAAAACCUCAAAUAUAGACCUGAAAGGGUGGUUUAGAAAAAAAUCCUUCAAUGUAGACCAAAAAAGUUAGUAUGGAGGAAUAUUCCACCUGAAAUGUAGACCUGAGAAGUUGGUUUGGAAGAAUAUACCAUCCUAAACAUCCUUAAAUGUAGACUAAAAGAUGGUUUGGAAGAAAAUUCUACCUAAAAUCCUCCAAUGUGGACCUAAAAGGUGAGUUUAAUGGUAUAUUCCACCUAAAAUUCACUACUGUAGACCUUGGAGGUUGGUCUGAUGGUACAUUCCACCCAACAUCCUGGAACAUAAACUUAAAAACUUUGUUCAAAGGAAUAUUCCACCUAAAAUCCUUCAAUGUAGACCAAAAAAUCUUGGUGUAAAGGAGUAUUCCACCUUAAAUGUAGACCUAAAGGAUGGUUUGGAGUAAUAUUCUACUCUAAAAUCUUCCAAUGUAGACCUAAAAGGUUGAUCUGAUGGUAUAUUCUACCCAACAUCCUGGAACAUUUACCUAAAAGGUUGGUUGAAUGGUAUAUUCCCAGAAGAACCCUUGAACAUUGGGCUUAUUGGUAUAUUCCACCCAAAAUACUUGUACAUUUACCAAGAAGUCAGUGUAAAGGAAAUGUAGACCUAAAAGGAUUGUUUAAAAGAAUAUUUAAACUGUUUUCAUUAUUUAAUAAUCUGUUAUCAGUCAGAACCCUGACAAACUCAUUUUCAUCAGUUUUUUUAGUGGAAGUCACAAAUAAAGGAGCUCUUGGUUUUUCCCGGCGUUACUGAGUCCAAAGCUGCAGUUUCAACACAGAACGUUCACAUGCAUCCACAAACCUCUCAGCACUCAAACACCCACAGACAGGAGGCCGGCUGGACCGAGGCUCGGCGGCGUCCUCAGACCCACGAGUCGGGGAGUCACUGAACUUGUUGGUCCGGUUUGAAGGCCUCCGUGUGGUCCAGUAGAAGUCCACGUAGUCAGUGUUGGCUUUGAACCACAGCGACUGGCCUCCAUCAGCUGACGUGGAUGUUUGAUGGUCUUCCUCUCUAGUGCCAGAUGAUUCAUCCAUGAAUUCAGCAGCUACAGACUGAAAUGAAGCUCAUGCUGCCGUUAUUGAAUUCCUGUUCCAGAUCAAAUGUUCAGAGCUCACCUUGAAUGCAGCCGUCUGCUGUCUGAUAGUUUUUCUCAUUGUAGUCUUCAAUAAAGUCUUUUUCCUCA